CCUACGGGCGGCAGCAGUGGGGGAUAUUGCACAAUGGGGGAAACCCUGAUGCAGCGACGCCGCGUGAGUGAAGAAGUAUUUCGGUAUGUAAAGCUCUAUCAGCAGGGAAGAAAAUGACAGUAACUGACCAAGAAGCCCCGGCUAACUACGUGACAGCAGCCGCGGGAAUACGUAGGGGGCAAGCGUUGUCCGGAGUUGCUGGGUGUAAAGGGAGCGUAGACGGUUAUGUAAGUCUGGAGUGAAAGCCCAGGGCCCAACCCGUGGACAGAUUUGGAAACUGUGUAACUGGAGUACAGGAGAGGCAGGCAGAAUUCCUGGUGUAGCGGUGAAAUGCGUAGAUAUCAGGAGGAACACCGUCGGCGAAGGCGGCCUGCUGGACUGAAACUGACGUUGAGGCUCGAAAGCGUGGGUAGCAAACAGGAUUAGAUACCCGUGUAGUC
rnacentral:rRNA from 1 species